rnacentral:rRNA from 1 species
UUUGAAAUCCGGCUUUCGGGCCCGACUUGUAAUCUGCAGAUGAGUCUUUUGGCGGAGCGCCGUCCAAGUUCCCUGGAACGGGACGCCGGAGAGGGUGAGAGCCCCGUACCGACGUGCGCCGAGUCUUUGCAAAGCUCAUUCGAAGAGUCGAGUAGUUUGGAAAUGCUGCUCAAAUUGUGGGGUAAAUCUCCCAUAAGGCUAAAUACUGGCCAGAGACCGAUAGCGCACAAGUAGCGUGAGCGAAAGAUGAAAAGAGCCUUGAACAAGGGCGUCAAAAAGCAUGUGAAAUUGUUGUGAGGGAAGCGCUCGAUGCCAGACGUGGAGGCGGUUGGUUACCCGGCGUUCUCGCCGGCGCACUCUGCCGUCUCCAGGCCAGCAUCAGUUCGGCUUGGGGCUCAAUGCAGUUGGGAACGUGGCUCCUCGGAGUGUUAUAGCCUAGCUGCGACGUCCUGGGCCGGACUGAGGAACGCGCAUCUGCCCGGAUGCUGGCGUAAUGGCUUCUAGCGACCCGUCUUGAAACACGGACCAAGGAGUUGACCUAACAUGCGAGUGUUUGGGUGUAAAGCCCUCACGCGCAGUGAAAGCGAACGCAGGUGGGAGCUUCGGCGCACCAUCGACCGAUCCUGAAGUUUACGGAUGGAUUUGAGUAAGAGCAUGUUGGGUCUGACCCGAAAGAAGGUGAACUAUGCAUGAAUAGGGUGAAGCCAGAGGAAACUCUGGUGGAGGCUCGCAGCGGUUCUGACGUGCAAAUCGAUCGUCAAAUUUGUGCAUGGGGGCGAAAGACCAAUCGAACCUUCUAGUAGCUGGGUCCUGCCGAAG